rnacentral:rRNA from 1 species
CCUACGGGAGGCAGCAGUGAGGAAUAUUGGUCAAUGGGCGCGAGCCUGAACCAGCCAAGUCGCGUGAGGGAAGACGGUCCUAUGGAUUGUAAACCUCUUUUGCCGGGGAGCAAAAGACGCCACGCGUGGCGUCCCUAGAGUUCCCGAAGAAAAAGCAUUGGCUAACUCCGUGCCAGCAGCCGCGGUUAUACGGAGGAUGCGAGCGUUAACCGGAUUUAUUGGGGUUAAAGGGUGCGCAGGCGGAAGCUCAAGUCAGGGGUAAAAUUGAGAGGCUCAACCUCUUUGAGCCGUUGAAACUGGGGUUCGUGAGUGGGCGAGAAGUAUGCGGAAUGCGUGGUGUAGCGGUGAAAUGCAUAGAUAUCACGCAGAACUCCGAUUGCGAAGGCAGCAUACCGGCGCCCAACUGACGCUGAUGCACGAAAGUGUGGGGAUCGAACAGGAUUAGAUACCCCUGUAGUC